AGUGAACGCUGGCGGCAGGCCUAACACAUGCAAGUCGAACGGCAGCACGGCAGUAGCAAUACUGUGGGUGGCGAGUGGCGGACGGGUGAGGAAUACAUCGGGAUCUACCCUGUUGUGGGGGGAUAACGUAGGGAAACUUACGCUAAUACCGCAUAAGAACUGAGGUUGAAAGCGGCGGACCGCAAGGCGUCGCGCGAUUGGAUGAACCGAUGUCCGAUUAGCUAGUUGGCGGGGUAAAGGCCCACCAAGGCGACGAUCGGUAGCUGGUCUGAGAGGACGACCAGCCACACUGGAACUGAGACACGGUCCAGACUCCUACGGGAGGCAGCAGUGGGGAAUAUUGGACAAUGGGCGCAAGCCUGAUCCAGCCAUGCCGCGUGGGUGAAGAAGGCC
rnacentral:rRNA from 1 species